GACACUCUCACACCAUGUGGAAUGUGAUGGAAUAAAUUUACAGGGAGAAUGAUUAGGGAGGGAGCAGAGGGGUGAACCUUCAAAUGUGGUUUAUUCAUAAUUUUCUGUAAUACUCAUGACAGUUGAAGAACGAGUUUAAGUUGAAGUUAUAUCAUGGAUGGAAUAUAAUUGUACAACCUAGAUAAUAGGAAUGAAGGUAUUAAGGGAACUGAGUCAGGAGUAUCCACGAUUGAAAAAAUAAAUCCAAUGCUUGUAUUUUACAAGUGAUCCGGCCCUCUGUCUACUGAGAUGUCUGGAUAGAACCAGCCUUGGGUUUAGCUGCCAGAUGGCAGAAACCCAUAAACAUGCUCUCUUUCCUCUCUGGUGUGUCUGUGCUAAUACUCUGGGGGAUCUUGGAGAAUCUCUGAUUAACCUCUGUAUCUAAAUGUUAUUUAUAAAUAAAAU
rnacentral:lncRNA from 1 species